CUGCCCGCUGCUCCAGCCCGGCCCCUGGGCGGGAAUUCAUCAUUCUCCCCAUUUCACACCCCGGCACCAACGAGGCACAGAGAGGCGAGGGGCUGUCGCGGAGCCUGGAGGGGCUGAAAUCCGCGAGUCCUGCUCCCCAGGACGCUGCUUUGACCACUAGACCCGCACUCCCCUGCAAAAUUGCCAACCAGAGCAACAGAAGACUAAAGCACUAGUAACUACAAGUUCCUGGAGACCCCUAUGCUCCGAACUGGAGCCCCAGGCAUGGCCCUGUACCCUGAUGUGAUCGGUACUGUACCAACACCAGAGAAAAGGACAGUCCCCAUCCCCAAAAAACUUUACAAAGUCCAGAACAAGAUGAGAGCAAACAGGUGCCACAGGACAAUUCGUCGUUGUUAAACUUACGGACUAACACAGCGACCCCGCUGAGCCACCAGAAGAGGAAUACUUGUCGUGUCCUUUUCACACAGUUGUAUUUGUUCUGGAUCUCUUCACUCCCACGCCACCUUUCUUUUUAGCGCAAGGCUUCAUUUCUACCGACCACCACGAGGAGGGGGUGUCUGGGAGGUCACUCAUCAACUGACAGCACAACGUCAGGCAACUGAAGUAUUAAAUAUUCCCGUAUUCAAACUGGAAAGCUGAGAUGCAGAGCAAAGCUCGUCCAAGGACCUGUGUCCGUGACGCAGCGGAAGACAGAACGCGGGGGUUCGCUAUUUCCCCUCCUGUGCUCAGACUAAGCCUCCCGGUCUCAAAAGCAUUUUAAUUACGAAAGUCCCCAUACAGAGGCCAAACACAGUAAUAAACGUGGUCGUGUUAUGCAGAACGAGGCCUCCCUUUUUGUUUGUAUCCCUUGGGUACAGAUGGUCGUGCCAAUUUUCUUCCACAAUUGGAUCGUAAGAAGUGGGUCUGGCCCACGAAAGCUCAU